rnacentral:rRNA from 1 species
GCGAGGCGCGCGAGACGUCGACGCCUUAGCCAAGGAGGGGUCAAGGCCAGGGGACAAGAUAACGGCCCACGUGCUCCGAAGAGGCCACAGAGUGCUCCCCCUGCUUGGUGUGGGAGCUCUCACGGAACGAGAACUUCCGUUCCGGGGGAAGUAUGUUGAAAGCUAAACUUAAAGAAUUGACGGAAGGGCCCCCAGGAGUGGCUGCGGCUUAAUUUGACUCAACACGGGAAAACUCACCCCGGCCCGGACACCGUGAGGAUUUGACAGAUUGAUAGCUUUUUCAUGAUUCGGGGGUUGGUGGGUGCAGGCCUUCUUAGUUCGGGAUCGGAUUUGUCUGGUUUAUUCCGAUAACGAGCGAGACUCUAGCCUAUAACUGUGCGGCAUGCCUCUGUGCUUGUCACUUCUUAGAGGGAUUAAGCUGCGUACCAGCAGCACGAAAUUGAGCAAUAACAGGUCUGUGAGCCCUUAGAUGCCGGGGCUGCACCGCGCUUGUCAAAGCAGUGCUUUCCAUUAGAAAGG